CAGCGCCGCGGUAAUACGGAGGGUGCAAGCGUUAAUCGGAAUUACUGGGCGUAAAGCGCACGCAGGCGGUUUGUUAAGUCAGAUGUGAAAUCCCCGAGCUUAACUUGGGAACUGCAUUUGAAACUGGCAAGCUAGAGUCUUGUAGAGGGGGGUAGAAUUCCAGGUGUAGCGGUGAAAUGCGUAGAGAUCUGGAGGAAUACCGGUGGCGAAGGCGGCCCCCUGGACAAAGACUGACGCUCAGGUGCGAAAGCGUGGGGAGCAAACAGGAUUAGAGACCCGCGUAGUCCCUGUCUCUUAUACA
rnacentral:rRNA from 1 species